UAGCUUAGUGGCGAACGGGUGAGUAACACGUAGGCAACCUGCCCAAAAGAGGGGGAUAACACUUGGAAACAGGUGCUAAUACCGCAUAACCAUGAACACCGCAUGAUGUUCAUGUAAAAGGCGGCUUUUGCUGUCACUUUUGGAUGGGCCUGCGGCGUAUUAACUUGUUGGUGGGGUAACGGCCUACCAAGGUGAUGAUACGUAGCUGAACUGAGAGGUUGAUCGGCCACAUUGGGACUGAGACACGGCCCAAACUCCUACGGGAGGCAGCAGUAGGGAAUCUUCCACAAUGGACGAAAGUCUGAUGGAGCAACGCCGCGUGAAUGAAGAAGGCCUUCGUGUCGUAAAAUUCUGUUGUCAGAGAAGAACGUGCGUGAGAGUAACUGUUCACGUAUUGACGGUAUCUGACCAGAAAGCCACGGCUAACUACGUGCCAGCAGCCGCGGUAAUACGUAGGUGGCGAGCGUUGUCCGGAUUUAUUGGGCGUAAAGGGAACGCAGGCGGUCUUUUAAGUCUGAUGUGAAAGCCUUCGGCUUAACCGAAGUAGUGCAUUGGAAACUGGAAGACUUGAGUGCAGAAGAGGAGAGUGGAACUCCAUGUGUAGCGGUGAAAUGCGUAGAUAUAUGGAAGAACACCAGUGGCGAAAGCGGCUCUCUGGUCUGUAACUGACGCUGAGGUUCGAAAGCGUGGGUAGCAAACAGGAUUAGAUACCCUGGUAGUCCACGCCGUAAACGAUGAGUGCUAAGUGUUGGAGGGUUUCCGCCCUUCAGUGCUGCAGCUAACGCAUUAAGCACUCCGCCUGGGGAGUACGGUCGCAAGACUGAAACUCAAAGGAAUUGACGGGGGCCCGCACAAGCGGUGGAGCAUGUGGUUUAAUUCGAAGCAACGCGAAGAACCUUACCAGGUCUUGACAUCUUCUGACAAUUCCAGAGAUGGAACGUUCCCUUCGGGGACAGAAUGACAGGUGGUGCAUGGUUGUCGUCAGCUCGUGUCGUGAGAUGUUGGGUUAAGUCCCGCAACGAGCGCAACCCUUAUUGUCAGUUGCCAUCAUUAAGUUGGGCACUCUGGCGAGACUGCCGGUGACAAACCGGAGGAAGGUGGGGAUGACGUCAAAUCAUCAUGCCCCUUAUGACCUGGGCUACACACGUGCUACAAUGGACGGUACAACGAGUCGCUAACUCGCGGGGGCAAGCUAAUCUCUUAAAGCCGUUCUCAGUUCGGAUUGCAGGCUGCAACUCGCCUGCAUGAAGUCGGAAUCGCUAGUAAUCGCGAAUCAGCAUGUCGCGGUGAAUACGUUCCCGGGCCUUGUACACACCGCCCGUCACACCAUGAGAGUUUGUAACACCCAAAGUCGGUGGGGUAACCUUUUGGAGCCAGCCGCCUAAGGUGGGACAGAUGAUUGGGGUGAAGUCGUAACAAGGUA
rnacentral:rRNA from 1 species